UUAGCGGAGGAAAAGAAACUAACAAGGAUUCCCUUAGUAGCGGCGAGCGAACAGGGAGAAGUCCAGCGCUGAAUCCUGCGUCAGGUCGACGUUUGGAAAUGUAGCGUUUGGGAGUGUCUAAUUACUCGUAUCCAACGUUGAGUCCAAGUCCGAUCUUGAAUGGGGCCAUUGCCCAUAGAGGGUGCCAGGCCCGUAGUGACAAACGUUGGUUAGGAGCGAGGACAUUCCUCAGAGUCGGGUUACUUGAGAGUGUAGCCCUAAGCCGGUGGUAUACUCCAUCUAAGACUAAAUACAACCACGAGACCGAUAGAAAACAAGUACCGUGAGGGAAAGUUGAAAAGGACUUUGAAGAGAGAGUUCAAUAGUACGUGAAACCGUUUGGGGGUAAACGCGUAAAACUCGAUAUACCCGCAGGGGGAUUCAGUAUCGACGGCGGUGGUUUGACAUGAUGUGGCUGAAUUUAUGCACAAACUUGAACUUCGGUUUGGGGGCGUGUGUUAUUUCCCAUUGAGUUAAUGCUGUUGCUGUCGGUCCGCACUUCCCCCUGUCAUGGUACGUUGCGACCAGUUGGGACAUAGGUCAAUUUAACUUGACCCGUGGGGGUCUACGGCCCGUGUCGCAGCCUAAUUCUCUGUUAGCGUCCUUUGUGGUGCGCAGAGGUUAGAGGCAUGGUGUUUCCUGUCCCCUCGUCAACUGAAGCGAAAAUAUAAAGUGGUUACCGCGAGUAUAUACGCGUCCUCAGCCGUCCGCCUUAUGGGUUCUGUAUACUGGGUAGCACGAAUGGGUUCGUGCCCUUCGGCCUAUGUUGCAGGGCUCGAGUAGGGUGGUAACGGAUCAAUCUUUGGACCGUGCACGGACCAAGGAGUCUAGCAUGUGUGCAAGUCAUGGGGUUAUAACAACCUGAAGGCGUAAUUAAAGUGAAGAUUUCGUUUGACGAAAUUAAGGGAAGAUACUGCGGGACGUCGUGAAUUCACGUAGCGCAGUCGCAUUCCCGGGGCGUCUCGUAGUCUAGUUUCGGCUAGCAGAGGCGCACCUAGAGCGCACACGUUGGGACCCGAGAGAUGAUGAACUAUACCUGGUCAGGACGAAGUCAGGGGAAACCCUGAUGGAGGUCCGUCGAGAUUCUGACGUGCAAAUCGAUCUCUCGAACUGGGCAUAGGGGCGAAAGACCAAUCGAAUCAUCUAUUAGCUGGUUUCACCGGAAGUUUCCCUCAGGAUAGCUAGCGCACAAUCAAAGGUGUUACAUCUGGUAAAGCGAAUGAUUAGCGGCCUUGGGGUCGAAAUGACCUCAACCGAUUCUCAAACUUUAAAUGGGUGUGUUCACCGACUUGCUACAAUGAAGUCGGUGUUUCAAAAACCAAGUGUGCUAAGUGGGCCCUUCUUGGUAAGCAGGACUGGCGCUGUGGGAUGAACCAAACGUUGAGUUAAAGUGCCUAAAUCAUCGCUCAUGAGAUACCAUGAAAGGCGUUGGUUGCUGGAGACAGCAGGACGGUGGCCAUGGAAGUCGGAAUCCGCUAAGGAGUGUGUAACUACUCACCUGCCGAAGCAACUAGCCCUGAAAAUGGAUGGCGCUGAAGCGAUGUACUUAUACUCGACCGUCAGUGGCAAUUUGGAAUUAAAUCAUUUAUGAUUGUUCAUCAGGCCCUGGCGAGUACGGUGGACGUGACGGUGUGCGUUGAAGGGUCGGGGUGUAGACCUGCCUGGAGCCGCCGUCAGUGCAGAUCUUGGUGGUAGUAGCAAAUACUCGAUAGAGACCGUGGAGGACUGAUGUGGAGAAGGGUUUCGUGUGAACAGCAGUUGCACUCGAGUCAGUCGAUCCUAAGCACUAGGGGAAACCCGAUGUCGAUGGUAGAGGACUUUUUCUUAAUUAAUUUUAAAAUUAAACUCCUCCCAUUUGUGCGAAAGGGAAUCUGGUUCAUAUUCCAGAACCUGGUACCGGAACCGUAUCACAAGUCGGCCUCUCGUUUUUAACGAGAAUUCGUCGGGGUAACCCAAAAGAACCUGGAGACGCCGUCGAGAGGUCCUGGAAGAGUUUUCUUUUCUGUAUAAGCGUUCGAGUUCCAUGGAAUCCUCUAGCAGGGAGAUAUGGUUUGGAACGCGAAGAGCACAGCAGUUGCAGCUGUGUCGGGAUCUUCUCCUCGGACCUUGAAAAUCCAGGGGAGGGCCACGUGGAGUGUCGGACCAGAUCGUACCCAUAUCCGCAGCAGGUCUCCAAGGUCAAUAGCCUCUAGUCGAUAGAACAAUGUAGGUAAGGGAAGUCA
rnacentral:rRNA from 1 species